CCCUGAUGUUCUAAAUCAGGGUCCCAGAAACCCUUACACACGUCAGAUGAAUGGAAAAGGUUGAAGAGAUCAGCGUUUUCACAGGGGUCUUCAACUUCCUUCAUCACCAACUUUUUAAGCUAAGAAUUCCAGCAGUUCUCUUGUCAAGGCCAUAAAUAAAGAAACAGUUUUAAAA